UUUAACAAUUUUCCCUUGUUGAAUCUGGCCCUCUUGCUGGACCUGUUCUUUCUGCUGGCUACCAGUAUUCUGCCCCCUGGUUUUGGUAGUCAGAUUGGUUGAAUGCAUAAAUCCACUCUUCUGGCAAGGAGACCAUUUCCUUAUCCUGCAAGCCAAUUGUUUCACUUUCUUCCUCACUGUCCAUAUCCUGCUCCUCCAGUUCCAUAGCUUGAAGCAUUUAAUACAUCCAGGCACAAGACACACCUUUCUCAGCUCUUCUGUCUGAUCCAUUUGCAGCAGCCUUCUAACAAACCUCCCCUGAUUAUUAUUCUGUCCCAACUACUGCCAUUUUGCUCUCCAGCUUCAUCACUUUUCUUCUGCUCCUUGUCACAACACUAUCUGGUUCUUGGGGAGCCCCUUCUUUUACACCACCCAGGUCGUCUCCCAAUAAGUCAUCAUCCUCUAGCUCUUCAUCAUCAUCCUCAUCCACUUUGUCUCCCCCAUCAGACUCUUCCUGGUUUUGUUCCAUUCCUGUUGAUUUCCAUCACGUUAAUUUCAACUUAAGCCUGAUCAUACUGAGAGGAAAAUUAAUGUUACUGCAAGUUGACUUCAUUUCCUCAAUGAAGGCUGCAAACCAUUCAUGUUGAGCAGGCCCAUAAACAAGCACCAAGUACCACCUGAAGUUUGAGAGCCUAUUUAUGAUAUAAACCCCAGUAGAACUCCCCUUUGUUCUAACCUUCCACCUCUAGCAAAUCUUCUUUAACUCCAACCAGAAUACCCUUGGGCAGGUAGCCAGUUCCAACUGACACCUUCAGAUGUAUCUUGCAUCUUCUCCUGAUCUCCUGGAUUGAAUGCAGAGAAUUUUCUGUCAGACACCUUCAGCUCUGGCAACUUGCAUUUAUCCAGAAAUCUGAACCAUCAUUUGUGUGGACCAAAAGCUGUCCAGGAGGGGGAGUGGGAUAUGUUUUCUCCUGAGCAGUAAAACUUCAUUUGGAUCUUUGGUGUCCUUGCUUUCAGGAGUUUUCUUAUCCCCAGUCUUCAUCUUCUGAGAGUUAAGAGAAGGUUCAAAAGCUAAUGAUCUCCCUGCUUUCCUUGCUUGUUUCAGGACACUUCGGAAUUUCUGUGUCCUGUUCCUUUUCCUCUUCAAAGUCUUGCGAGGGAGAAAGGUCAGCUUUGAAUGAGCAGCUAGAAAGUAGUAACCACAAGUAGGGUGCUGUUGGAGCAGCUUGAUGUAAAGACCACACAUGAAGGAUAUCAAGAUGUAUUUUUAGCGAUGGUUCGUUGGAGCAAGCAAGCCAGGACUCAAGGUGCGAGGCUAGUGUCUUUUCAGCAUGAGGCUAGGAUGACUUUGAGAAUGAGGUUGAAGGUGCGAAGGCAUUGGAAACGUGAAGGUGUGAUUCACGGGUUGCCUGAGAUCAUGAUUCACGGGAUUGACUGAAGGCGUGAGAAGUGUGAUUCGGAAGAGAAGAUCAAGUCGCACAAGUUACCACCAAAAGACCUUUAUAUAUAGCAUAUUCCAAAAGACCUCCAAAAGACCUUUAUAUUAUAUUUUUAAAAACAAUUAAAUAAUUUCUUUAUUUUCAUGCCA